GACACUGUAUACAAGUCAUUAUCUAACUAUUCGACCUAAUCGAUUAACAUGCGCCAAUCAUCUAUCUCUAUUCUCUAUUUUACAAUCUACACGCCGUCGUUUUACAGGCCGGAAAGCUGUCGGAGACAUGAGCCGGAUUGGUUUGCCUCUGGGUUCCAACAGCGACCUGAAAACCAGUAGACAUGAGCACCCUUUUAACUUCCCCAGUUCUUCAAAUCGAUCACUACCAUGUCUACCAAAUGAAGAUCCACUUCAAGUUGUAGAUGGAAAUAGAAUGAUGCGAGGGUAUGUGGUUGCUUUAUUUGGAAAACAUGAAGCUUUAAGAUGGGCUAUUGCGAUUCAUGAAUUAGGUUCUCUUGAAAUGCGUUUUAGUUUGGGUUCUCUUAAAGUAUGUUGAAGCUGAUACCCUUUGUGGAAAAGAGAGCAACAAGAUUUGUGUUCCUCAUUUAUCAUAGUUGGCUCGAAGGGUUUGGUAUUAGUUAAAUAUGCAAAGAAGGUAAUUUGCAAAAAAAUAUUUUAGAAAAAGAGGACUUGGAACUUCAGAAUAGGACAAACAAGGUUAUAUUCUGAUUAGCAGCUGAAGCCGGAAACCUUAAAUUGGCUAAGAUUAUGACAUAUAUAAUAUAAUAAGCUCAUAAUCGGUUAAUCAUAAAUGAUGUUACUUUUCUUUAUUGGAAGCCAUAAUCGGGAGAAGUAUCUAUUUAAUGUUUUACGAUAUGUUGUUUGGAGCCCUGACCUCAAACAAGCACUUGUUCUCUUGAAAUGCGUUGUAUUGUUGUAUUUUAAUUAGUGGUUGCGGUUUCAUGUUGCUUACCAAUAAAAUUGGUGUAUGUUUGAGAAAAGUGUCUAUUUAGUAAUUAUUUUUAUUCAA